UGUUUGCUGUUUUCAUCCUUGGAUUGUUUUGUUUUCUACCACAAGUUACAAGUAAAAUGUUUUUUGCGUCAAUGCAUAAUAACAAAACAUCUCGUGACCGUACACAAGGUCACAAUAGCUUGGAGCGCUAACUACAAGGGAAGCAUGUCUGCGAUUGCUUCAAACAACGUAUUGCAAGCCAUCAUGAGAGUGCGCCAGGCGCGAGGGUGCUGUUCCGGACCUGGAGGGUUCCACUGCCGCGCACUCGGCUCGGUGGCGCUCAGGGACCCACAGGACGUGCCGGCCCAGCAGAGCAGCGAGAUCGCGUCCAACCUGCUGCUCGUCCUGCAGGACGUGAUAAAAGCCCAGCUGGAACCCUCAAUACCAGGCAAUGAAGCAGAGCAGCAGCAAUAAGUACCAGGCAAUAAAGCCGGGCAACAGCCAUCAACAUCAGGCGAUUAAGUACAGUUGCAGAUACCAAUGUCAGGUAAGGAAGCACAGGUGUAGAUACAUAUGCAAUGGUGUAAAAUCUUCAGUAUGCUCAUCACAUGUGAUUGAUUCUGACAAUUUUUUAAGUAAAUAGUUUUUGAUAAAACUGCCAACUGAAAAUACUCAACAUUGCAGAAUGUCUUGGAUUGAGGACAUGCAACUGAACUUGCAACACAAAACAAAUUAAAGCAUUAUAUCGUAAUUGUAAAGAACCUCAAACACACAUCAUAAAGUUCUGCUAUAUAAAGCUGUCUGUACCUAUAUUAACUUAGUCCAAAUUUAAACUAACUUCAAUACCAAUCUAAUGUUAAUCAAUUGUAUGCUUAACAAUUCAAGCACUGUUGACAAGGUUUUCCUUUAUUGUUCAAACAAAUAAAUAAAGUAACUAAUUAAGUUAACCAUAUGCAAAAUCUCAAAGCAACAUGACUAAAGGUAAUUCAGGAGAGACUAUUUUCUGGUGUUUAAUUUUUUAACAUAUGUUCCAUUCACUCUUUAAGAUUUUGUUGUGAUACUUCAAGUAGUUUGCUUUUCAACACGUGGUUAGGUAAGGUUAGCUACAUAGUAAGUAUAUUUGGCUAUUUUACAUUAGCUACAUUUUAAAUUAUGUGGCUAGCGAAACCCGACCAACCGUUCUCACAUCAUGACAGUAUUUGUAAUACAACACCCUUAGGGAUGAGUGUAAAACAUAUCAAAGUAAAAAAAAAACAUGCUCCAGCUAAGAGGUCUCCUUCCGAAUUAUCUGACCAAUAAUUAUAACACUGAUAAACACAAAUUUGUAUAACUCAAUACUUACCUGGCAAGUACUGUGAUGGAAUAGACUUCUAUGCUGAGCCUCUUCAUACCUGGACUAAAACAAUUAGUAGGGACCCCAGAAAAUGGUAAAUAAAACUGGCUCAUUUCGGUGUAAAAAAAUUACAAAAGCGGUGCAAAAAAUUGGUGUAAAAAUUUGGUGAGAUAUAUUAAAUUGAAAUUGGCAAACGAGGAUUGUUUUGCUUCAAAUUUUUUUAAAUUUUAAUAUUAAACAUAAAAUGCACUCAGUUGGCAAACACUAAAAAGUUUUUAGUGUUUCUAGUUUUCUUCUUGGUCUUGUCUCCUUUACAGCAACCCUGUGUUCCCCUAACCUGUUCUAUUCCAUCUGUUUCUAACCAAAUGUUGGUUUUUUUUUAAAAAUUGUGUUGUAAUAUUACUAUGUUUGGAAAUUAAAAUAAUGUAUGGUCUGAAUAAGAAGAAAAGUAAUUAUAAUUAUUAAUUAAUUACAGAAAGAAUAGUAUUACAAUUCAUUAAUUUAAGAAGAAAAUGAAGUGGAGAGACUGUACAAUCCAUUAAAUAUGUAACAUAUUUUGAGCUGAAAAACUUGGAACAAUCAAGCAUUUUAUCACAACAAAAUAUUAACAUUGAUCUUAUUUUAAGAGUCAAUAUAGGUACCAUAAACAAGAGAAAAUACAGAUAAACAAAAAUUAUGAUUUCUUAUGGACAAAUUCAACACUUGAUUUAAAAAUAAUUAAUGUGUGCAUUAUAAAACCUUUUUACAUAUUGCACUACAAGUACUGCUACACUGAAAUUAAAUUCUCCUAGUUAUGUUUCCUCCCAAAAAAUUGAGUUAAAAGUAUUUUCAACGUGUUUGGUUUCAAAUUUGUCCGAAGGUCUGACAAAAUAAAUGUGUCCGUAGGCCGAAAAAGCCCUUUCGCUAUCAGCAUUGGAGGGUGGUAUUGCAAGAACAGACAGAGACUUUUGAACAAACUUGUUGUGCUGAUCUUGCAGUCCCAGCAAUACGGUGGUGACAUCAACAUCCUUCAUUUCUUUCUGAAGGUCAACUACUUGGCCUUGAAAGGCUAGGUAGCCUUCCAGAAACUCUUGGUCCGAGACUUCAGCAAGAAUGGGAAUCUUCUUGGCACUGACACAUAAAUCAACAUUGACUGUGUUGGUUGCAAUAUGUCUUGUGUUGAAUAAUUUACUUAAACCAAAAAUUAUUUCUCUAGCAGGAUCCUGGCUCAUUAGAGAAGAAAGUUUACUGUGGCACUUCAAUCCUAGGGCAACCAAGAUAUCACGAACACUUUGCCUUUUAACAGCAGUGGGCAACUUGGCAAUAAGGGAGCUUGUUUCUUCUCCUAGGCACCCUCUGCUUGCAAGUAGAUAUUGAUUUUGAAGAUUGGUAAGUGUACCAUGGAGUUUGUGCACAAGUGCAUGUCCUGACCCUUCAAAUUCAGUUAUGGCCUUGGUUGUGGCAGAGAAAUGUUCAACCAAAAAUACAGCUGAACAUCUGAUUACACCAAUGCUCUCUUUGGACAGGUCUUUGAAGUGUGUCACAGCACUACUUCCUUCCUCCUCCUUACCAAAAAACUCCACCAAGUCGUCCAAGUAGUCGGCAACGUACUUGGCAGAAAUAAACCAAGAGUUCCAUCUCGUCAUAACUGGACUAGGGAACAGUAGGGGUUUCUUUUCUUCUUGUGGGUAUUUCUCUUUCAAGAAGGAAAUGUACCGGUGUUUUCGUUUUCUCGCAUUCGAGAAUCCAUGUUUGGUGUUGGCAAUGCACUGGUUCAGUUCUGCCAGUUCAAAGCUACAUAAACUUGCAACCAGGUUUAAUUUAUGGGCCCAGCAUUGAAUGUGAACCACACCAGGGGAAAGUAUUUCUUUCAGUGUGGAAAUGCAAGAGGUCAUAUACCUAGCAGAGUCACUUACAAUUCCCACAACAUCAUCAUACUGUAUGCCACAUUGACUAAGAGUCGACAAAAUAACUCGUGUGCACUCUGAACCUGUAGCACCCUGUAGCUCUUUAACUUCUCCUGCAAAUAUUGUCUGCUCUGAACUGAACAACAGCACUUUUAUCAACACUACAAACAUGCAUUUACCAGUCCUGUCAGUGGUUUCAUCGCACAUGAGAAUGACCUUCUGAUUUUCAACACACUUCUUUAUGUAUUCUUGUUUCAUUUCGCCUAGUUUUGGCAAAUAAUUUUCACGCAGUGUAUUUGCCACAGGAAGAUCUCCAGAACCUGGAAUUAUACAAAAAGUAUAUUAAGUAUAUGUUUAUACAAUGAAACCCUGAUUGUAAGUUCUCAUUUAUAACAUUUUUCUGGUUACUAAGUUACAUUCUCUAGUCCCAAAACUGAUUUUUGUAACAAAGCUAUAGGAGGCCUACAUUCACAUUACUCAUCCUAAAGUUUUAUGCGGGCAUGAUGAACUGUAGAAUUAUUUCAUUGGCCAAAUGGUGCUUAACUACUGCGCACACACAAAAUAAUAAAAAAAAUUUAAAAAUGCAAUAAAAAUACUGAACCACAGUACCUUGAACAUAUUUAUUUAACCAGGUCCUCAUGUUUGGGUCAUCUGCUUUUUCCAAAGGUAUGUUUGCCCCCACCAUCAUUUCAACAAAGUCAAUUAUAACUUGUUGUUUGUUUACAACUAUGUUUUUAGAAGUUUGCAAAGCAGCUUCGAUAGACGUCUGUUUUGCAGUACCGGUAGUCGACGUUGAUGCUGCACAUAAUUUUUUUUUAUGAGUUGCGUUAGAAACGUGUUUUAGGUAUGUGUCUCGACGCAUCCAGUCCACACGAACGUUGCAAAACUUACACAUUAUUAUCUUAUCCUUAACAUCAAAUAUAUAAAAUCCUUCCUGCUUCAUCUCUCGUUCUCGAUCGAAAACCGUAACUAUUUUCGGCAUCUAAACACAAAAAUAAGCUCUACUAACUAGAUGCUUGGAAAUUAACCCUUUGCACUCCUAUGUCGAGCCAGGUUCUCCAUCUUUCAUUUCCUGUUCCAAUCCUUUGUCGAGCCUGGCUCUCCAUACAUCUAAAUGACAUUACAAUGUUCUAUGGAUGUUUUGGAACACAACCAUGUUUCUCUAUGUUGUUAUUAAAGGUCUCAGGCAAAGGUUACUCUAUGUAUUUUAGUUCAUACAUCUAUGAAAUUUAUUUCAUAUUUUAUUUCCUAGGUGCACCUCUGUAUAGCUAUGUCUAUGAAAACACUCCUUGGUUACAACAAUGUCAACAAGCAGCGAAAGUGAUUUUCAAGGUUUUGGUAGUGAUUUAGAAGAUGAUAAUGAAGAAGAUUCUGAUUUCUUUUUAUCUGAUGAUAGUAAUGUGGUUUCCAGCGAUGAAAACAGUGAUAGUGAGAGUGAGGUACAAGACACUGUUUGCGAUAAUUGGAAGGAUUGCACGGAAAAUGACAGCAAUUUUGAUUGUCUUCCAUUUGACUCAAAGGCCACCUUUACAUGAUAAACCAACUAAUGCUGUACAGUUUUUUCAACUUUUUUUCAGUGUUAGUCUUUUCCAGCAAAUUGCAGCAGAAACAAAUUCCUAUGCAAAACAAAAAAUUCCUAAGAUUAUGCCACUGAAGCAACAUUCCAUUUGGUGGGGGUGGACAGAUGUAUCUCUGGAAGAAAUUAUGGCUUUCCACGGAGUUUUGUUGAAUAUGGGACAAAAAGCAAAAACAUCUCUGCAAGACUUUUUUUCAGAGGAUUGGUUGGAUUCAUCUAGAUUUUUCAAAGAUAUUUUCACCCGGAAACGUUUUUUUACAAAUUUUUUGGGCAUUACAUGUGUCUCCUCCCGAUGCUGCAAAAAGAGAAUGUAGGCCAAUGAUGUCUAGGCUCAGCAAAGUGAAAAACAUUGUUGAAUAUACUGGCAGUACAUUUUUAGAAUACUAUAGUCCAAGUCAACGUUUAGCAGCAGAUGAAUCAACUGUAAAUUUCAAGGGCAGGGUUGUUUUCAAAAUGUAUAACCCACAAAAACCAACUAAGUGGGGUCUUCGGAUUUAUGUAAUAGCAGAUUCACUGAAUGGUUACAUUUUAGGCCUGAUACCAUAUUAUGGUUCUGUAACUACCAAUGCCUUAUUACGACCCGAUCUUACUUUCACUUCUCGUAUAAUUUUGGAAUUGAUAGCAAUGGUUCAGAACAUUACACAGAAAGUGGGGUACUUCCUCUAUACAGAUAGAUUUUAUACAGGUGUUGACCUUGCAAAUGAGCUUUUGAAAAAGGGUAUUUAUCUGACAGGAACUGUACUGCAAAAUAGGAAGGGACUUCCAAUUCAAAUUAGGAAAAAAAACCUAAAACUCAAAGUACAUGAUGUGAAAGCCUACAGAAAAGAUGAUAAAAUAAUGGUGCUAGCUUGGCGUGAUAAACGAUAUAUAACUAUGUUGAGUACAUGUCACAAUUCUAAUGUGAUGAUGGUACAGAGAACUACAAAAAACAAAAAUGAAGAGAUUCCUAAGCCACAGGUAGUAAUAGAUUACACAGCACACAUGGGAGCCGUUGAUCGAGCAGAUCAUUAUUGCACCAGUUAUGGUUUUGUGAAAAAAAGUUUGAAGUGGUGGCGCAAACUUUAUUUUUGGAUUUUAGAAGUCUCACUUGUAAAUAGUUUUCAUUUGUAUAACAUGUACCAAACUAAACAAAACAUUCAGGAAACAUGUUAUUGAAGGUCUUGUUGGUAACGUACAAUAUAUUCUUACGGGAAUACUUUUAAUUUUAAUGUUACUUUUAAUAUUGUAUUAAAUGGUUUUUUAUUUAACAUUAAAUGUUUUGUUUGAUUUAAUUAGCUCUGAUGUAACCAAAAUGGAUAGCUUUAUAUCUAUUAGCAUAGUAAAAUUUAUUGUAAAUUAUAAAAUUUUUAAAAAUACUGGAAUUUGUUUUUGCCAAAAGAGUGGCCACCCUGAUGUGGCUAAUUGCUGCAACAGGCUACAAUGGCUCUAAUUGCUUCAAGUGACAAAAUACAUAUCACUUGAAUGGAUCUAUCCACAAUGUGUAAUAAAUCUCUCCUCCUACCUUCUUCCGUAAACAUUUGUUAUCAAUGUUUUUAAAAUAUCUUGAGUCUUAGUCACUAUCAUCAUAGACAUUAUCAUUGUCAUUAUCUUCAUAAACAUUAAAUCUUUAAAAAAAUUUUUAACGUGACAUUUCCACAUUUUUGUUCUCAGAGCCUCAUCACUGUCUUCGAUUGUGUCAGCUUCAGGUGCCUUUACAUUAUUUCCAAGUUUGUGGAAAUGACUAGAUGUAAGUUUAUGUAUGUGUGUGUGUGUCUAUAUAUAUAUACACACACAUACCACAUCUUAUGGAGAUAGAUUUGUAUUCCUCAUGUCUUUGUUAGCCUCCAGUUCCAUUCAACUGACAAGAUUGGAGAAAGCAUUGUUAGCAUAAUUUUUAUUUCACCUCAAGAUCCUGAUAUUUGUCUAAUAUUUCUCUUCCAUUGUACUUUUCUAAUGUAGACUCAUCAUCGCUAUCAUUAGUUAAGCUUAGCUUGGUUUUACAGAUCUUAGAUGUUUAUUCAAGAUAAUACGAUUUCUGGCACUGGGUGUAACUUUUUUCUUUAAGGUUUGAAUAUAAACUUGCUUCUCUCAUUCUCUCACAGCAUUCUUUCUCACAGUAAACUCCUUUCUGCAGUAACUAUACAGAUGACCUUUUGAUAACUCUGCAGGAAUCGAUACAGAAUCCAUAUUAGCUUGUGCAACAGAGGCAUAUUGAUUGUUUAUAUUGAAAUCAAAUAUUUUGUUACCUCUAGUCCGGAAGGGCGGGAGGACAAGGGUUGAAAUCUGAGAAAGAGGUUCUAAAGUUCGAGAAACAAAAGUGCGUUUAUUAACAAAACUUGUAAUAACGUCACAUCCUUCAAUUAGUGAUGGGUCGUUCGUGAACGAUUCGUUCAAAAAGAAUGAAUCUUGAGAGAACGAAAUCUUGCGAUUCGUUCGCGAUGUAAAGAACCGGCUCUUUGAGAGCCGGUACCUUGAAAGAUUCGGAAGAACGAAAACGCGGAGAGAACGAGAUGAGAGAACCGGCCACGCGCCCGGUCUGAUUCGUUCGUGAAAUGAUUGAUGACGUCAGGAGUCUGAAGAAUUAGUAAUCACAGCGUGCGCAUGUUCACAAGAGCAAACGAUAACUGAUCAAAUAAAAUAGGGUAACAUGAAAAGUAUCUAUACCUGAAAAUGUCAACUGUUAAGUAGUGGUUUAAAAUUGCUUUUUCACAUUCACAUACACAAAUUUGGAAAUAAAAAACUAAAAAAAAAAAAAAAACGUAUGAAUUAAAAAUAACAGGGAGGUACACAUUAAAUGUACACACUUACCAUUUUUGGGUUAAUUAAUGUACUUCAUUUGUUUCUCUUCAUACUGAAUCGCAGUAGUAGUAUUAAAUUUUGGUCUUUUUUUCUCUAAAUGUGUUGGUCUACAUGUAAAAACUUUACUGUCACUAGAGUGUAAAUGGCCUAUAUAUUAAUAUUUGUAACUUAAAAAGUAAUAAAAUAUUAAUAAUCUUGUUUCAUAUACGUAACUGUGAUUCACUGGCUACGGAAAGCAAUGUUCAAAUUCAAAUACAAAAACACGUACCUAAUACUCUAAAGGAUGAACGAGUUACGACACCUGAUAAAAGAGCCAGAUCCCAUACACAGAAAAGAACGAAUUGACCGAGAUGAACGAAUCAUUCCACGGAACUGAUCCAAAAGAACCGAUUCUGUCAAAAGAACCGUUCUGCCCAUCACUACCUUCAAUACACGCAUUUCUCGCAUGUAUCGAUUGUCCGUGUUUAUCGUAUACUUUCUACGGUCCCGGCAAAAUUGCCAUACAACUAAGGUUAAAAAAGUCCGCUUGUACCGAUGUUCGAAUUAUCGUUUUGUCCGCAUUGAUCGUACAAAAUAUGUGGUCCCGUCACUAUAAAUUAUAAUAGAUGAUCGUUUAACCAUAAAGAUUUUGCAGAAAUAACCAUUUCUUAGAAUGAAACCGUCAUAAAAACAGUAACGAUAGUAUACAGUAGUAAAAAUCAACUUAAAUCUGCAGCCAAGUAAUGGAGCACGUAAAUAUGAAGAAAAGACAAAUGAACAACAACUUACGAAGAAAUAUGGAUGAUGUACAAUAACUACAGUACAAACCCAAUUGUUAUCCUAAGAUAAUUACCAUAAAAAGAACUAAAGAUUCUUUGUCGAUACCUUAAUUACUACAGAAGCACGAUAGCUACCAGUGGUAGCCAGACGUACGACUAUAGUCGUACAUGUACGACUAUUUCGUAGUUCGGUACGACGUACGUCUGAACAUAGGGUCGUACACCUAUUUGUACGACUAUUUUGAAAUUUUGGUGGUUAAGAUGUUAUGGUUAAAUAUUUUGGUCUCAUAAACACAAUAUAUGCAGUUCUAAAGAAGCCAAAAUCGAAAAUUGUAAUGAAAUCGAUCUGAAUGUUAAUCCAAUUCAAGAAACAAUCGAUAGCUUCAUUAUAAUAGUUGAGAGGAAUGACAACAGAAUGCACAUAAAUCAAUAUCAUAUUGGAUACAUUAUUAAAAUAUGUGUGAUAUUCUGUAAGUACCUAUCAUCUUUGGAACAGUACGAACAAUUUAAGAAUUUAACAGUUGUUUACAUUGUUUGGUAAAUAUGAGUGACGCAGAAGAUGGGCUAAGUUCGCCACCAAAAAAGCCUACACUUUGAUGUAAUGGAGGUGAUCUCAGAAGUGCUGGCCACAUACUGCUUCGGGAAGAGAUGGAGGAGAAACUGCAUCCAGACCUGGCCUUCGAGGAAGGGGUGUCAGUAGCGACACCACCUGCGAUCCUGAUGGACGUGAUUUCAACCCUUGAUGAGGACGAGCUGCCUCGAGCAUGUGCCAGUGUGGACAUUCCUUCACCAUAAAGGAGUUUUGAGGUUGUGGCCUUGUCGCCACCUUUCUGCCACCCCUCCCAAAAAUGCUCACUGCCCAGGUGGUGACUAAACUUUAACAAGAGAGAGAGAGUAAUUUUUUUCUUUUUUAAUUAAAUAACAUAAUUAUUUAUUAUGAAUCACCUUGUAUUGCUUACAUUAUUUCAAUAUGAUUGUGCUGUGUACAUUAUUUUUGGUUUGUAGAAACUUUUCAAGUACAUGGUACACAUAAUUUUAUAA